rnacentral:rRNA from 1 species
AGUGAACGCUGGCGGUAGGCCUAACACAUGCAAGUCGAACGGCAGCACAGUAAGAGCUUGCUCUUACGGGUGGCGAGUGGCGGACGGGUGAGGAAUACAUCGGAAUCUACUUUUUCGUGGGGGAUAACGUAGGGAAACUUACGCUAAUACCGCAUACGACCUACGGGUGAAAGCAGGGGAUCUUCGGACCUUGCGCGAUUGAAUGACCCGAUGUCGGAUUAGCUAGUUGGCGGGGUAAAGACCCACCAAGGCGACGAUCCGUAGCUGGUCUGAGAGGAUGAUCAGCCACACGGGAACUGAGACACGGUCCAGACUCCUACGGGAGGCAGCAGUGGGGAAUAUUGGACAAUGGGCGCAAGCCUGAUCCAGCCAUACCGCGUGGGUGAAGAAGGCCUUCGGGUUGUAAAGCCCUUUUGUUGGGAAAGAAAAGCAGCAGGUUAAUACCCCGCUGUUCUGACGGUACCCAAAGAAUAAGCACCGGCUAACUUCGUG